rnacentral:rRNA from 1 species
CGGGAUGACGGCCUCGGGUUGUAACCGCUUUCAGCAGGGACGAAGCAACACGUGACGGUACCUGCAGAAGAAGCACCGGCCAACUACGUGC